rnacentral:rRNA from 1 species
GUCUACGGCCAUCCCACCCUGAACAAGCCCAAUCCCAUCUGAUCUUGGAAGCUAAGCAGGGUCAGACUUUCAGACUUGGUUAGUACUUAGAUGGAAGACCACCUAGGAAGAGCAGGUGCUGUAGGCG